AGUGAACGCUGGCGGUAGGCCUAACACAUGCAAGUCGAACGGCAGCACAGGAGAGCUUGCUCUCUGGGUGGCGAGUGGCGGACGGGUGAGGAAUACAUCGGAAUCUACUCUGUCGUGGGGGAUAACUUAGGGAAACUUACGCUAAUACCGCAUACGACCUACGGGUGAAAGUAGGGGACUUUCGGGCCUUGCGCGAUUGAAUGCGCCGAGGUCGGAUUAGCUAGUUGGCGGGGUAAAGGCCCACCAAGGCGACGAUCCGUAGCUGGUCUGAGAGGGUGAUCAGCCACACUGGAACUGAGACACGGUCCAGACUCGUACGGGAGGCAGCAGUGGGGAAUAUUGGACAAUGGGCGCAAGCCUGAUCCAGCCAUACCGCGUGGGUGAAGAAGGCCUUCGGGUUGUAAAGCCCUUUUGUUGGGAAAGAAAUCCAGCUGGCUAAUACCCGGUUGGGAUGACGGUACCCAAAGAAUAAGCACCGGCUAACUUCGUGCCAGCAGCCGCCGUAA
rnacentral:rRNA from 1 species